GAUGAACGCUAGCUACAGGCUUAACACAUGCAAGUCGAGGGGCAUCAGGAAGAAAGCUUGCUUUCUUUGCUGGCGACCGGCGCACGGGUGAGUAACACGUAUCCAACCUGCCCUUUACUCGGGGAUAGCCUUUCGAAAGAAAGAUUAAUACCCGAUAGCAUAAUGAUUCCGCAUGGUUUCAUUAUUAAAGGAUUCCGGUAAAGGAUGGGGAUGCGUUCCAUUAGGUUGUUGGUGAGGUAACGGCCCACCAAGCCUUCGAUGGAUAGGGGUUCUGAGAGGAAGGUCCCCCACAUUGGAACUGAGACACGGUCCAAACUCCUACGGGAGGCAGCAGUGAGGAAUAUUGGUCAAUGGGCGCUAGCCUGAACCAGCCAAGUAGCGUGAAGGAUGAAGGCUCUAUGGGUCGUAAACUUCUUUUAUAUAAGAAUAAAGUGCAGUAUGUAUACUGUUUUGUAUGUAUUAUAUGAAUAAGGAUCGGCUAACUCCGUGCCAGCAGCCGCGGUAAUACGGAGGAUCCGAGCGUUAUCCGGAUUUAUUGGGUUUAAAGGGAGCGUAGGUGGACUGGUAAGUCAGUUGUGAAAGUUUGCGGCUCAACCGUAAAAUUGCAGUUGAUACUGUCAGUCUUGAGUACAGUAGAGGUGGGCGGAAUUCGUGGUGUAGCGGUGAAAUGCUUAGAUAUCACGAAGAACUCCGAUUGCGAAGGCAGCUCACUGGACUGCAACUGACACUGAUGCUCGAAAGUGUGGGUAUCAAACAGGAUUAGAUACCCUGGUAGUCCACACAGUAAACGAUGAAUACUCGCUGUUUGCGAUAUACAGUAAGCGGCCAAGCGAAAGCAUUAAGUAUUCCACCUGGGGAGUACGCCGGCAACGGUGAAACUCAAAGGAAUUGACGGGGGCCCGCACAAGCGGAGGAACAUGUGGUUUAAUUCGAUGAUACGCGAGGAACCUUACCCGGGCUUAAAUUGCAGUGGAAUGAUGUGGAAACAUGUCAGUGAGCAAUCACCGCUGCGAAGGUGCUGCAUGGUUGUCGUCAGCUCGUGCCGUGAGGUGUCGGCUUAAGUGCCAUAACGAGCGCAACCCUUAUCUUUAGUUACUAACAGGUUAUGCUGAGGACUCUAGAGAGACUGCCGUCGUAAGAUGUGAGGAAGGUGGGGAUGACGUCAAAUCAGCACGGCCCUUACGUCCGGGGCUACACACGUGUUACAAUGGGGGGUACAGAAGGCAGCUAGCGGGUGACCGUAUGCUAAUCCCAAAAUCCUCUCUCAGUUCGGAUCGAAGUCUGCAACCCGACUUCGUGAAGCUGGAUUCGCUAGUAAUCGCGCAUCAGCCACGGCGCGGUGAAUACGUUCCCGGGCCUUGUACACACCGCCCGUCAAGCCAUGGGAGCCGGGGGUACCUGAAGUACGUAACCGCAAGGAUCGUCCUAGGGUAAAACUGGUGA
rnacentral:rRNA from 1 species